rnacentral:rRNA from 1 species
AGUGAACGCUGGCGGUAGGCCUAACACAUGCAAGUCGAACGGCAGCACAGUAAGAGCUUGCUCUUACGGGUGGCGAGUGGCGGACGGGUGAGGAAUACAUCGGAAUCUACUUUUUCGUGGGGGACAACGUAGGGAAACUUACGCUAAUACCGCAUACGACCUACGGGUGAAAGCAGGGGAUCUUCGCACCUUGCGCGAUUGUAUGAGCCGAUGUCGGAUUAGCUAGUUGGCGGGGUAAAGGCCCACCAAGGCGACGAUCCGUAGCUGGUCUGAGAGGAUGAUCAGCCACACUGGAACUGAGACACGGUCCAGACUCCUACGGGAGGCAGCAGUGGGGAAUAUUGGACAAUGGGCGCAAGCCUGAUCCAGCCAUACCGCGUGGGUGAAGAAGGCCUUCGGGUUGUAAAGCCCUUUUGUUGGGGAAGAAAAGCAGCAGGUUAAUACCCCGCUGUUCUGACGGUACCCAAAGAAUAAGCACCGGCUAACUUCGUG